CCCUUAGAUGUUCUGGGCUGCACGCGUGUUACAAUCGGGAGUACAACAAGAUUGCAAAUCCUAGUGGAUGAGUGGUUCUUCGAAAUUUUCCGAAGACUGGGAUAGUUGAUUGAAAUUAUUCAACUCAAACGAGGAAUUCCUUGUAAUUGUAAUUCAUUAUAUUGUAAUGAAUACGUCCCUGCCCUUUGUACACACCGCCCGUCGCUCCUACCGAUUGAACGAUCCGGUGAAUUAUUUGGAGUAGCUCUGGAAGUUGCAGAACUUCCUAUGUCACGAAAUUUUGUAAACCUUAUCGUUUAGAGGAAGGAAAAGUCGUAACA
rnacentral:rRNA from 1 species